AUUGUGUGUGGUUGAGCAGUGCUCGGUGGCGAGCCUCUGCGCUGUUGCUGUCUGUUGUUGAUGUUGCUGACGUUGCCUCCAUAGCAGGAGGUGUAUGGUACCGGCUGCUCUGUUGGCACCGGCUAUCAGGUGUUUGGCACCGGCGGUCCCGCAGUGCCGGACGCUUGCUGCGCCCGACGGGUGCGAAGGGGGUUGAGCCGAGUGGUGAUAUUAGCGCGCUGAUCUUAGUCUAGUAUUUUUAGUCUGUACCAACCAAACGGCCCAACGACCCAUCCCUUAAUUUUUCUUUUUAAAUAUUUGUGUCAAUCACAAUAAAUUGUUGUCAAUUUAAA